UUCUUUUCAAAAUAAUUUUUGUUUUGAUUCAUGAAAAUCAAUUACUAGAUAUUAUUUUUGUGUUUAUUCAUGAUCUAUGAUGCAUUUUUAAAAAAAUCUGUAAUUGUGGAUCCUUUUAUUUACCGAUUUGUUUUUUUUUCCAGAUUAUCAACGAUCGCGAAACAGGUAGAUCAAGAGGAUUUGGUUUUGUUACCUUUACUGAUGAGAAAUCCAUGAGGAACGCAAUUGAAGCAAUGAAUGGCCAGAACCUUGAUGGUCGUAACAUCACUGUUAAUGAAGCUCAAUCACGCGGAAGCGGCGGCGGCGGCGGUGGUUUCGGAGGUGGCCGACGGGGUGGUGGUGGUGGUGGUUUCGGAGGUGGUGGCGGAUACAAUGGCGGUGGUGGCGGCUACGGUCGACGUGAGGGUGGCAAUGGUGGUGGUUAUGGAGGUGGCCGUGACCGCGGAUAUGGUGGUGGUGGUGAUCGUUAUGGUGAUGGUGGAUCCCGCUACUCAAGAGGUGGUGGUGCAUCAGAAGGAAGCUGGAGGAAUUAGGUUAGAUAUAAUAAAAUUCUGAAAUUGGGUUUAAUAGUCUAAAAUAUGUCAUAGUUUUGGUUUGGAAACUAUGUUUCUGUGUUGGGUUUUUGUUAGUGUUGUGGUUUCUUGCUAUUGACUCGUUAUGUUACUGUGAGGGAUAUGUGCAAGGUUCAACCAUCAAAGUUAUAAAUGAUCAACCCUUUUUCUAUUUGGUGUGUAUUCAUUUUUUCACUCCUCCAAAUCAAUAAUUAGAAUUGAAAAAAAGCUUAUUAAUUUACCGAUUUUGAUUACAGUUUUAAUUUUUUUUGUUUAUCCGGUUAUUAAUCUUAAUAAUUUGAAGUUUGUUUUUAACAAGUGAACCGAUAAUCAAUAGUAAAUUUAUAUAUUAUAUUUUUGGCAUUCAAUAUAUAUAGAGUCUUUGUUUCAUACUUUUAUUUUUGACAGUUUCUCGGUUAUGCUACAAGGUGUGAGUAUUUGUUUUGGAGUAAUAUGCAAUUUGUAAACUUAUGUGAAUAGUUCAUUUGGUUUGUCAUACAUUUUCUCACAUUGUUUCUUAAAUCAAUAAACAAACCGAUAAACCAAUAACUUAUAUCUUAAUAGUUCUAUAAUGCUCUAAGAUACAAACCAAUAAGCCUAUAAAUUUAGCUGAUAAACUUCAAAACUGAAUCGAACCGACCAAUAUAUAUGCCUACUUCUCCUUUUUAGUCGAUUCCAAAAAGAAUAACCCAUUUUUAUAUUUUAGUACUCUCCUUUUGUAACUUUACUUGUCACAUUUGAACUUAACACUUUUACUAUUAAAAAAACAAUGAUCCACAUAAUAAAGGUAAAACAUGUAAAAAAAAUAUUAAUUUUUCUUAAUAGGUUAUGUUGUGACGAAAAGAUGAAAACGAAAAUCUAAAAAUAAAGAACACCAAGUUUAUUGUGAAAAAAUCCUUCAAACCGAAGGUAACACCCACGGGAUGGACAAGAUCGGAAUUGCUUCACGAUAACAAUAAGAGGGUUACAAAUAUUCUUGGCUACACAACAAGUGCCAAAAUAGAACAAACAAUAGCUACACCAACAAAAGAUAAAUAGAACGAAACACCACCCAAACCCAGCUGCUGUUCGGGAUCUAAAACAUGGGGUUGAAAAAUAUCCAAAAUCCAUUAAAGAAAAAUGAAGAAUUGGGAGGAUAAUAAUUUUGAUAUGAAGAAUGGGUAGGAUGGUAAUUUAGAAAUCAUGAUAGAUGCAAUUAGAGUUUAUUUUGACAGUCAUCCUCCUUCAAGAAAGUUUGAGCUAUUGGAGCUUGUACUCUCUGAUUUGUGUUGUCCUUUUAAAGUGAAGACAAAAAGGUGAAGUAGGCAUAUAUAUUGGUCGGUUCGAUUCAGUUUUGAAGUUUAUCAGCUAAAUUUAUAGGCUUAUUGGUUUGUAUCUUAGAGCAUUAUAGAACUAUUAAGAUAUAAGUUAUUGGUUUAUCGGUUUGUUUAUUGAUUUAAGAAACAAGGUGACAAAAUGUAUGACAAACCAAAUGAACUACGCACAUAAGUUUACAAAUUGCAUAUUACUCCAAAACAAAUACUCACACCUUGUAGCAUAACCGAGAAACUGUCAAAAAUAAAAGUAUGAAACAAAGACUCUAUAUAUAUUGAAUGCCAAAAAUAUAAUAUAUAAAUUUACUAUUGAUUAUCGGUUCACUUGUUAAAAACAAACUUCAAAUUAUUAAGAUUAAUAACCGGAUAAACAAAAAAAAAUAAAACUGUUAUCAAAAUCGGUAAAUUAAUAAGCUUUUUUCCGAUUCUAAUUAUUGAUUUGAAGGAGUGAAAAAAUGAAUACACACCAAAUAGAAAAAGGGUUGAUCAUUUAUAACUUUGAUGAUUGAACCUUGCACAUAUCCCUCACAGUAACAUAACGAGUCAAUAGCAAGAGACCACAACACUAACAAAAACCCAACACAGAAACAUAGUUUCCAAACCAAAACUAUGACAUAUUUUAGACUAUUAAACCCAAUUUCAGAAUUUUAUUAUAUCUAACCUAAUUCCUCCAGCUUCCUUCUGAUGCACCACCACCUCUUGAGUAGCGGGAUCCACCAUCACCAUAACGAUCACCACCACCACCAUAUCCGCGGUCACGGCCACCUCCAUAACCACCACCAUUGCCACCCUCACGUCGACCGUAGCCGCCACCACCGCCAUUGUAUCCGCCACCACCUCCGAAACCACCACCACCACCACCCCGUCGGCCACCUCCGAAACCACCGCCGCCGCCGCCGCUUCCGCGUGAUUGAGCUUCAUUAACAGUGAUGUUACGACCAUCAAGGUUCUGGCCAUUCAUUGCUUCAAUUGCGUUCCUCAUGGAUUUCUCAUCAGUAAAGGUAACAAAACCAAAUCCUCUUGAUCUACCUGUUUCGCGAUCGUUGAUAAUCUGGAAAAAAAAACAAAUCGGUAAAUAAAAGGAUCCACAAUUACAGAUUUUUUUAAAAAUGCAUCAUAGAUCAUGAAUAAACACAAAAAUAAUAUCUAGUAAUUGAUUUUCAUGAAUCAAAACAAAAAUUAUUUUGAAAAGAAAAGCUAAAAGCGAUCAAUCUUCAACGUAACGUACCGUAUAAAGGAAUGGAAUAAGGGUAAGAGUAACAAAUAGUAACAGUAACAUAGAGAGAGUAACAAAGUAGCAUAGUAACAGAGAGAGUAAAGAGAUGAGGUGAUCAACGAAGCCAAAAUAAAAUGGUAUCGGAUCUGAUCUCUGCUGUGCAACAAACGGACCUUGGAGUCGACCACAUUGCCGUACUGAGAAAAAGCUUCUCCUAGGGUUCUAUCGUUGGUAGCCCAUGCGAGCCCACCCACGAAGCAUCUGUAUUCAACCUCAACAGACAUUCUUUUUCUAUUUUAAUUCAAUAGACAAGAGAGAUGUGCAUUUUCUGGGUACAAAAUGCUGCCUUUUAUAGGCCAAGGAGACUACUUUUUUGCUUUCACCUUUAAUUUUAUGUGCACGGAGCACUAGAAGCGCUAGUUUGUUACCGAUUGCGACGCUAAUGGAUAACUACUCGUGGCUACCACUGGUUAAAACUUAAAACGGUUGAUUAACAGUCAUUUUCAUCACAUACUGUUAAUAGAAAUUACCCCGUUUGGUCAUCUGAGAUGAACUAAUGAUAUAAAAUCAUGGUUUUGAUAUGUAAUUUGGGUGAUUUUAUUGAUACAAAAUAAAGUUUAAUAACUUUUUUAGAUAAUUUUUCAUAGUUCAGUGACAUUUCAAGAUUUUAACAAAAUUAUCAAAAUUAUAUAAUUUUAUACCAAAUAAAUAAAAAUUCAUAACAAAACUACAAAGUAUAAAUACACUAUUACAAAGCUACCAAUACUUAUUGAUCCAAUUUUAGUUUAAUAAAAAGUAGAGUUGAACAUGAGUUGUAGUAUAUUUAUAUUACAACUCUCAUAAGUUGUGAAAACUAUCAAAAAUAUAUCAAUCAUAUCAUAUCAUAUAUAUAUAUAUAUAUAUAUAUAUGAUAUGAUAUGAUUGAUAUAUUUUUGAUAGUUUUCACAACUUAUGAGAGUUGUAAUAUAAAUAUACUACAACUCAUGUUCAACUCUACUUUUUAUUAAACUAAAAUUGGAUCAAUAAGUAUUGGUAGCUUUGUAAUAGUGUAUUUAUACUUUGUAGUUUUGUUAUGAAUUUUUAUUUAUUUGGUAUAAAAUUAUAUAAUUUUGAUAAUUUUGUUAAAAUCUUGAAAUGUCACUGAACUAUGAAAAAUUAUCUAAAAAAGUUAUUAAACUUUAUUUUGUAUCAAUAAAAUCACCCAAAUUACAUAUCAAAACCAUGAUUUUAUAUCAUUAGUUCAUCUCAGAUGACCAAACGGGGUAAUUUCUAUUAACAGUAUGUGAUGAAAAUGACUGUUAAUCAACCGUUUUAAGUUUUAACCAGUGGUAGCCACGAGUAGUUAUCCAUUAGCGUCGCAAUCGGUAACAAACUAGCGCUUCUAGUGCUCCGUGCACAUAAAAUUAAAGGUGAAAGCAAAAAAGUAGUCUCCUUGGCCUAUAAAAGGCAGCAUUUUGUACCCAGAAAAUGCACAUCUCUCUUGUCUAUUGAAUUAAAAUAGAAAAAGAAUGUCUGUUGAGGUUGAAUACAGAUGCUUCGUGGGUGGGCUCGCAUGGGCUACCAACGAUAGAACCCUAGGAGAAGCUUUUUCUCAGUACGGCAAUGUGGUCGACUCCAAGGUCCGUUUGUUGCACAGCAGAGAUCAGAUCCGAUACCAUUUUAUUUUGGCUUCGUUGAUCACCUCAUCUCUUUACUCUCUCUGUUACUAUGCUACUUUGUUACUCUCUCUAUGUUACUGUUACUAUUUGUUACUCUUACCCUUAUUCCAUUCCUUUAUACGGUACGUUACGUUGAAGAUUGAUCGCUUUUAGCUUUUCUUUUCAAAAUAAUUUUUGUUUUGAUUCAUGAAAAUCAAUUACUAGAUAUUAUUUUUGUGUUUAUUCAUGAUCUAUGAUGCAUUUUUAAAAAAAUCUGUAAUUGUGGAUCCUUUUAUUUACCGAUUUGUUUUUUUUUCCAGAUUAUCAACGAUCGCGAAACAGGUAGAUCAAGAGGAUUUGGUUUUGUUACCUUUACUGAUGAGAAAUCCAUGAGGAACGCAAUUGAAGCAAUGAAUGGCCAGAACCUUGAUGGUCGUAACAUCACUGUUAAUGAAGCUCAAUCACGCGGAAGCGGCGGCGGCGGCGGUGGUUUCGGAGGUGGCCGACGGGGUGGUGGUGGUGGUGGUUUCGGAGGUGGUGGCGGAUACAAUGGCGGUGGUGGCGGCUACGGUCGACG
rnacentral:lncRNA from 1 species